rnacentral:rRNA from 1 species
AACGAACCCUGGCGGCAUGCCUAACACAUGCAAGUCGAACGAGACCUUCGGGUCUAGUGGCGCACGGGUGCGUAACGCGUGGGAACCUGCCCUUAGGUUCGGAAUAACUCCCCGAAAGGGGCGCUAAUACCGGAUAAUGUCUUCGGACCAAAGAUUUAUCGCCUUUGGAUGGGCCCGCGUUGGAUUAGCUAGUUGGUAGGGUAAAAGCCUACCAAGGCGACGAUCCAUAGCUGGUCUGAGAGGAUGAUCAGCCACACUGGGACUGAGACACGGCCCAGACUCCUACGGGAGGCAGCAGUGGGGAAUAUUGGACAAUGGGCGAAAGCCUGAUCCAGCAAUGCCGCGUGAGUGAUGAAGGCCUUAGGGUUGUAAAGCUCUUUUACCCGGGAUGAUAAUGACAGUACCGGGAGAAUAAGCUCCGGCUAACUCCGUG